rnacentral:tRNA from 1 species
CCGGAGGUAUCCAAGAGGUUAAAGGGGGUAGACUGUAAAUCUAUCGGCGUUAGCCUUCGGGGGUUCGAUUCCCACCCCUCCGGAC